rnacentral:rRNA from 1 species
GUCUGAUUAGCUUGUUGGCGGGGUAACGGCCCACCAAGGCAACGAUCAGUAGGGGUUCUGAGAGGAAGGUCCCCCACAUUGGAACUGAGACACGGUCCAAACUCCUACGGGAGGCAGCAGUGAGGAAUAUUGGUCAAUGGGCGAGAGCCUGAACCAGCCAAGUAGCGUGCAGAAUGACGGCCCUAUGGGUUGUAAACUGCUUUUAUAAGGGAAUAAAGUGAGCCUCGUGAGGCUUUUUGCAUGUACCUUAUGAAUAAGGACCGGCUAAUUCCGUGCCAGCAGCCGCGGUAAUACGGAAGGUCCGGGCGUUAUCCGGAUUUAUUGGGUUUAAAGGGAGCGUAGGCCGGAGAUUAAGCGUGUUGUGAAAUGUAGAUGCUCAACAUCUGCACUGCAGCGCGAACUGGUUUCCUUGAGUACGCACAAAGUGGGCGGAAUUCGUGGUGUAGCGGUGAAAUGCUUAGAUAUCACGAAGAACUCCGAUUGCGAAGGCAGCUCACUGGAGCGCAACUGACGCUGAAGCUCGAAAGUGCGGGUAUCGAACAGGAUUAGAUACCCUGGUAGUCCGCACGGUAAACGAUGGAUGCCCGCUGUUGGUCUGAAUAGGUCAGCGGCCAAGCGAAAGCAUUAAGCAUCCCACCUGGGGAGUAC